rnacentral:rRNA from 1 species
AUGCUGAUGGAUUGCCCUGAACCGGUUGCAAGGAAAAUGUUCACUGGUUUCCUAGUUUCAGCAGCAGUUAAAAUCCAGGACAUCAAUCUUGAUACUAAGAGAUGGGAUGGGCUGCAUGCUCACCUUGAAUUGCCGUCACGAUCAAGAUUGUUAAGAAGAAAAAAUGUUCAGGAUCUAGAGCUUUGGUGGCUGCUAUCAAUUCACUUCAGGUUCUCUAUGCCUCCUUCCAUUCUAUACUUGGUAUGGAUGCAGGCGGAUGCGUCUGCAUUGGGGCCGGAAAUGUAUUACUACUUUAAAGCUUGUGCUAUAAUUAGAGCGAAGUGUUGUUACUUAAAGUUCGUGCUAGCUUUACUUAAAAUUCCUAAUAUUUGGUCACCUCUUGAAAGAGAGAACGGUCCAGUAGAGUAG